CCGCGCCCAGCUAAAGAAAAAGAGGAAAUUGAUACAUCCAAUCUUCCGCCAGAUCCUGCGAAUCGCAUACCAAUUUUCCAGUACAGUGCCAAAGUACGUGAUGAUGUGCGAAGAGCAUACCUCCUGAGAGGCCCGUUCCAACCAACAGGACAUGCUUUCCUUCAAACAGAUUUCAAACGUCGUUUUAAUGAAGAGUGGUUCAAGGAUCACAAGUCUUGGUUGGAGUACAGUACAAAGGAAAAUGCAGCAUUUUGUCUUUGUUGCUAUUUGUUUCAGAAUGAAAGUCUAGGCCAUGGUGGUGGAGACGUAUUUUCAACAAAGGGGUGGAAAAGUUGGAAUAAUAUAAAGAGAUUGGAUAUUCAUGUUGGGGGUCCUUCAAGUACUCAUAAUCAGAACAUGAAAAGAUGUGAUGAUCUAAUGAACCAGAAGCAAUCCAUUGGAGUUGUCUUUCACAAGAAAACAAAGAAAUCCAAUAUAGAUGAUGUGGCUGCUGUUGCUUUGAAGAAUGCUCCUCAGAAUUUAAAGUUGGUUUCUUCUACUAUCCAUAAAGAUAUUGUGAAAGCUUGUGCUAUAGAAACAGUGAAAGCAAUCAUAGAAGAUCUGGGAGAUGAAUGCUUUGCUAUAUUGGUUGAUGAAUCUCAUGAUGAGAAACAAGCAAAAAGAGUCCAGACGGCACUGCAGAAUGGAUAA
rnacentral:rRNA from 1 species